UGUUGAGCUGCUCAGUCCAGACGUCACUUUCACAAACAGCUAAUCAAGUUCAUGGGGAGUCCAGGAGAAGGCUCAGAAGCACUUACUUCAAACCCACAGGCCAGCACACUGAUGAAAGAAAAGACAUCUACAACACACACUCUAAUUUGAGUUGCAGGAAUGAUGACAGAUCCAUCAGUCAAGCACAUCUGUCUACAAAUCAAGAGAAAGAGAGAGAUGGAGAGAAAGCACACAAAUAAAAAGAAUGAAAGGAAGUGCAAAAAACUGAAUGGGAGGUAAAUUUAGUGUUCUGCUUUUUGAUCUUGCUGAGCAAAAAUUUAUUUAGUAGUAUUCAGAAAUAUAUAUAUAUAUAUAUAUAUAUAUAUACUUUUUUUUUUUUGACAAUGUCAAUUUCAGGUUUUACUAUCCUUGUGGGGACAUUUGGUCCCCUCAGUGAAGCAUAAACAAGUACACACACUCACACAUCAGUAUCAGUAUCAGUAUCAGAAUGUAGGCUAUGGUAGGAUAUAUUUUGCAUUUGCGAUGUUUAAUUAAAUGUUCCAAUUAUUUAACUUACCCUAUAACUAGCCUACUGUAUUUAGGCCUAGGCUACUAUACGCCAUUUCGAUCGUGAGCCGAAAAACAAAACAAAACGACGACUAGAAAAGAUUAAAUAAAUAAAUAAACAAUUAAAUAAAUAAAUACGUGGCCAAUGUGGGCUUCCGUAGACUGUCACAAUUUUGGGUUGAUGCAUUCUAAACUAGAAAUCUACUACUUGCUAGUUGCUACUAUUUGAUGCUAUCUACAUUAAUCAGUUUCUUAAUUCAGAUUUCUUUUAAAUUCAGCUCCAUACUGACAAAAAAAAAAAAAAUACUGUAUGGACUCCUGAAACGCAGUCCAUUUAUGGAGCUCACCCAAGAGCACUCCAGCUGUUUUCCCCACAUGGUUGUGAUUUUGAAUUCUGCGCGGGAGCACAGGCAGCGCUCUGGCUCAGCCCACCGCCAAGAGAGACUGCUGCCCCAAAUAAACAGCUACAGGAGAGAUGAAAUGAAAGAGUGGAUUACAGCGAAGGGAAAACAGGUUUUAAAGGUGUGGACUUACACUAUUUACAUGAAUGCGGAGAUGUUGGUUCCAAUUCAUAGGUAAUUGUCCCUUCUGGGCCUGGAUGCUGGGAGUCUUGAAGGAGCCUAGCUCAAGAUCAUGGCGAGUGCUAAUCUUCUUAUACUUAAGGUAUCAGGUUCCCCUUUGAUGUUUAAAAACAUGUUGACUCCUAUCUCGCCCAAGAAGGCAAUCCAGACACAGCCUUGAGGAACAUGGUUUCUUUCUGUCUUGCUUGCAUUACCCUUCCUGAAGUUGAUUAAUGUUGCACAAAAAAAGAAAUCCGUUUUAAUUAUGAAUGUCAGAAGAAAUGCCCUUUUUAGUUAAUUUCUCGCCAUUAUCACUUUAAUUAAUCAAGAAUUUACAAUCACAUGAUUUAUUACUUUUUUUUUUUUUUUUUUUUUUAGAUUAUCUGAAAGGUGUUGAUUUUUGUCUUUUUGCAUUUUCUCUAAGGGAUAUCAUUGUCAUCAUGAUGAGUAAUUCUCUGGACAUCCUUUGAAAGGUGGGCCAUAGCCAACAGGUAAAUGGGUAAGAUUACUAACCAAUCAUUUUCAAAAAUCAAUCACACUGAUGCAGUUUUUUCCCUGCAAGCUAUUAAAAAGGCCCAAAUGUCAGGUGGGUGUGAAAGAGAUGGAGUAGAAAUGUUGGGUGUUGCUUAUUCAUAAGCGUAAACCAGCUGAGAUAGUUGACAAGCUCAUGUUCUCUAAAUCCCUCUUGAAUAUAAACACAUUCAGCAAAGAAUAUUAGUCUACUUCCUGUAUAAUUACUAAGUACCUGACACGUACACCUAAGUCCUGUCACUAACACUAUACUGUAGCUCUCCA
ensembl:lncRNA